CGGAGAGAGGAUGCAUGGGGUAUGUCUCAACUCUCAACAAUUUUUAAAGGUGAUGACAACACAGAUGGUUGUGAUGUAGCAGCAGAUCCAUGCAAUGGCUUGACAAAGAGAAUGGCUACCUUUUUGCAAAUGAUGGGUCCAAUGGAGUUGAGAGGUUAAAAUCCAAUCGGUGUCACCAUAAUUGCUGUGGGUUAAAACCAAAGUCUACUCGUUGCAAGUGAGUACGGUUUAAUAUGGAACAGAAGAAAGGAGACAUCACCAGAGCUAGCGUUUCUGAAUUAAUACUAGUAGGCGAAGACGUUUAUACUUUCAACAAAGAUAUCAAAGAAAUUAUAUUUUUAUAGUACAAGAACAA